CCUACGGGAGGCAGCAGUGGGGAAUAUUGCACAAUGGGGGAAACCCUGAUGCAGCGACGCCGCGUGAGUGAAGAAGUAAUUCGUUAUGUAAAGCUCUAUCAGCAGGGAAGAAAAUGACGGUACUUGAGUAAGAAGCACCGGCUAACUACGUGCCAGCAGCCGCGGUAAUACGUAGGGGGCAAGCGUGAUCCGGAUUUACUGGGGGUAAAGGGAGCGUAGACGGCAGUGCAAGUCUGGAGUGAAAGGCGGGGGCUUAACCCCCGGACUGCUCUGGAAACUGUACGGCUGGAGUGCAGGAGAGGUAAGUGGAAUUCCUAGUGUAGCGGUGGAAUGCGUAGAUAUAAGGAGGAACACCAGUGGCGAAGGCGGCUCUCUGGUCUGCAACUGACGCUGAGGCUCGAAAGCAUGGGGAGCGAACAGGAUUAGAUACCCCAGUAGUC
rnacentral:rRNA from 1 species